GGGCGUAUGGCGCAGUGGUAGCGCGCUUCGUUCACACCGAAGAGGUCACUGGUUCGAACCCAGUUACGCCCA
rnacentral:tRNA from 1 species